AACGAGACCUUAACCUGCUAAAUAGCCCGUAUUGCUUUGGCAGUACGCUGGCUUCUUAGAGGGACUAUCCGCUCAAGCGGAUGGAAGUUUGAGGCAAUAACAGGUUAAGAAAAUUCACAGGCCUGUAAUAGUGAGCCUCUCGAAAUAUUUUGCUAGUUCAGUACUUUUGCCUCUUUUGGGGGAGCCCCCUAUUAUCGGGACGAGGAGCAGGGC
rnacentral:rRNA from 1 species